rnacentral:lncRNA from 1 species
AUCAGAUAGUUGUCUACAACGUAAAUUUUGUAAUGUUGUUCUAAUAGUUUCUGCUUCAUCAGUCCAUCUACCACAAAAAUGUUCAACCAUAGUAGUAAUUAAAGAAUAAACAGCAUUUUGCUGUACUUGAGAAGUCUGAUAGGCUAAUUGCCCUUCUAUUUUAAUAACACUAGUAGUAUUCAUGAUAGUAUUCUUUUUAUCUUGAUUUAAAAAAUUAUCCCACCAACCUUUAAGUUGGCCAGUGAAACCAGCAACAAUCAUA